CUUUAAGGAUUGCUGUCCCGACCACAGCUCACAACCUCUACGCAGGCUCUUUUGCUUGUUUGGCAAUGCAAGAGAGGGGGAGGAAAUGCAGUACAAGGGACCAGACACUACGCAUGCUUCCUUUCCCCCUGUCCCAGCCAGCUAAAGAGAUGAUUGGGAGCUAAAGAGAGGCAGCCAUGGGGGAAAGAGAGCCAGCUUUUGGCAAGAUUCCCCUACAGAUGCGGUGCUCCUUACAGAACACUCCCCAAAGCAUAUGGAACACUUCUGCGCUGUCAAACAGAUGGACCAUCUCCACAAGUGAUCUCCGCAGCUUACUAUAUCCAAACAGAACAUCCCAUGUCUUUAAAUAAGCUGGGAUACCUCUCAGAAGUCAAGGCAUGCUAAAAUGAUGUGCUAGAGGAAACGGAGCACAUGGCCCAAGGAACAUCUGGAAUCGCUACACGGGAGCCGCGCGCUAGAGGGAAGACGACAUUCCUCGAGUUUCCAUCCAAGGAAUCCGCGACACGACCAGGAGAACCAAGACGACCAUCUCCCCAUCUGGCGGCGCUGGAGAAGAACGGGAUGUGGUGGUUCACCGGACGCCGGGGAUGAUGGAGGGCGCCGAAGUCAUCUUCGACGCUCCUUCUAAAAGCGGCAGGCGAAGUCGGGCUCAGGGUGGCUGCCUCGAGAAACGGCUUGUAAUGCGCGCCUCUUCUGUGCCAGCUGGGGGAUUUUUGCGAAGUCGCGUUCGGAGGCCCACUGACUCAUGCAAGAAUCCUGCCGGGGCUUAUUGGGAGGCGGCCGCAGUGGGAAGAAACGCAUCACUGAAGAAAAUGUUGUUUAUUAAAAGAUAAAUGUAUGACUUGCA